UUUAUCUGAUGAGUGGCGAGUGCCGAUCAUAACAACCUCAAGUAACCCGAAAGACAAAGAUGAUGUUCCUCUUGUUGCUGAGCUUUGCUGCCAGCGUUACUCUGCUCUCAGGAAAGAGCGUCAUGCAGACGCCCGCCGACAUCAUCCAGGCAGCGGGCCGCUCGGCCACGAUUGCGUGUACCCACAGCAUACCGAGCCUUGACCAGAUGCUGUGGUACCGGCAGCCCGGCAUGGGCAUGCAGCUCAUCGGGUACAUGUACUACAAAAACCCCACGAUGGAGCCUGACCAGGACGUGAAGUUUGAGGGGAGCGCAGAAUCCGGCAAAACGUGCGAGAUGACUUUCCCCAAGCUGCGUCCGAACAGCAGCGCUGUUUAUUAUUGCGCAGCAAGUAACCACGGUGCAGUGUCGUGCUAAAUCCUCAAGUCAUAAACCUUAUCACGCACCCGCAUCCCAUCAUGCUCUGAUAACCCCCCCACACGCACCCCCGAUGCCACCGUGCACCUGGAUCCGACCAUUCCGAGCACUCUCAUUAGAUUGGGAGGUUCUUCUGGUGGUUGCUAACCUGCCGCCAGAAAUGCGACGUCCACCUCCAGCGUUGGCUCUGUUCCUGACAUCGGCUUUGGUCCUGGCGGUGCCUUGUUCUCGCUGUGCCCGCUAAGGCUCCCGCUAGGAAAGUGUCUACAUUCCCGCUGACUCCGGCAUGGACACCGGCUCCUACACGCUCACUCCCCUCUUGCUGUUGUUUUUCUAUUUUGUCUUUACUGUAACGCAUCUUUUGAGUGUUCAGAAAAGCGCUAAAUGAAUUUGAUUUAUCAUUAUUAUUAUCAUCAUAAUCGUCCACAGUAACGACUGAAGCUUGGAGUUGAUCCUCCUCACGUGCUUUUCCAUCGUGCAAGCGAAACAUCGUUUUCAUAGCGCACUGCUAUGUACAGUAGUGAUAUUUGAUUGGCAAUUAACAGUUGAGCGGGGCGUGUUUUCAGAACGUCCAGCAGAUACAUACGCCCGCAGUGUUUCAGAAAGGAAACAGUUGGGCUUGAUAAUUCAUCAUUUUGAAGCUUCAAAGGGGAACAGGCCAAAUGAUAAAACAACAAAAGAUUACACACAGCGCAGGGCCCCCACUAUUUACGACAAUAAUAGUUGUUGUACGCCAUAGUCUAUAUGAGUCAAAUAUGGCAUUUUUUAAAAUUUGUAAAAUAUGUCUUGACGUUAAACCGGUCUGCGGUGCAGAAAAGGUUGGGGACCGCUGCUCUAAAUCCCCUUCGAUGUUAACAAAAGCCAUUAGGUUACGUAAUGGAAGACGAAACUGUGUUUUACGAAAACAUGUUAGCUUGGACACAAGGGACGGCACGACUGAUUGGCUGUGAGAUAUUGAACGGAAGUGACUAAAAUGAAGAGCAAAAGAAAGAAGUGCGCAAAGGCAAGGAGCUGAGUGGCUGCGAAACAUAAAAUGAGCAACAAGUGGAAAUGUAUACAUAUUUAGAUAGAUGGAAUAUUAAACAUUGCAGAAUUUUCCCGAGUGCCUUUGAAGGGGUUAAAAGGAGGCCGCGAGCCUUGGCUUUCAGCCAAUCAGCUCGCGUCGGCUGCCGCUCUUUGUCAGAUGAGUAGCGAGCGCAGAUCAUAGCAACCUCAAGGAAACCAGAAGACGUGAUGUUCCUCUUAUUACUGAGCAUUGCUGCCAGCGUUACUCUGCUCUCAGGUAACAUCGGACGUCAUUGACAUCAUGCACUUUAGGAAAAUACGAAAACGUACAUAAGACUCAGCUCAAUAAAAAAGUCGUCUUUAGUUUCUUUGACUUGGAAGUUUGCAAAAAGCGUAUAUUUGGUGACUUGUUUUUUUCUUUCAGGACUGAUCGUCACGCAGACUCCCGCCGACAUCAUCGCGGCA